rnacentral:lncRNA from 1 species
UGUAAUCUAGAAUUUGCAUCUGCCUUGCGGCUGCAGAAGUGAAAGUUCGUUUCAUACAUGAUGCGAAACACACGGGGUUCAAUGAAUGGGCUCAUUUUACCGAUUGGUUUGGGGGGUUCUGGGUUGUGAAUAGCCUGAAAACUCAUGAGAUGAAGAGUGGAGGACACGCUUUUCUCAAUGAUUUUCCUCUUUGUACCGAGGAGGGGAGCGAUCGUGAUUAUACACAAGCACAACCAUCAGUGUUAGCUAAUAGUUUGUAAAGAUGCAACCUGCUCCCAUC